GUGAAUCAUCGAAUUUUUGAACGCAAAUUGCACUCCCUUGGGAGAGUAUGAGUGUUUCUGGGUCAGCCUAAAAAAAAUCGACGUAGUCGCUGUUUCGCGGUGACAUGAGACGGAAAUUGGAUCAUAUUAAGCCGUUGGGUUUUUUAUGCGUAUUAUAAUUUUUUUUAUGUUUAGACGAACGUUUUUAAGAUUUUAGUUCUUACACACGUUAAAGGUAUCGAUCUUUAUUAGACGUGGCGGUU
rnacentral:misc_RNA from 1 species